AUGAUCCUUUACCCCAGCUGGCCCACCUCUCUCUCUGGUAACACUCUCUGCCCCUUGACCUUAUGAUUCCUGAGACACACUGCUGCAGUUGCUGCCCGGCUUUUCUGGAUGCCAAGAAAGUGCUCAGGCCUUUGCUUGCUUUUCUGGAUUUCUCAAGCCAGAUUCAGACCCAAUGCCACAGACUGUCUAAUCCAAGAAACACAUUAUGUUUUCCCCCAGGCUUUAGACAAAACAUGAACAGAAUUCUCUUCCUGCUGUAUUUCAGUCAAGCGAACAACUUCGUCUCCUGCGUGAACCAAGUAAAUUUGCUGGAUGCCAUCCAUGAUGCUCUUCUCCCCUUUAUCCUUCAUCAUAUAUUCUUAGCACACAGUAGAAGAAAUUUGGCUUACCUCGAUGAAAGAGAGCUAUCAAAUACACAGAGAAGACAGCCUGAGUGAUCUUGUCCUAAGGGUAUCUACCUGAUGGAUGUUGGGUCCUUACAGCAGGGAGAAGAUGCACUCAUCUUUGUAUUUCUAGCACCUAUCACAGGACUGGAAAAGCUGGCCAUCAGAUAAAUGUAAGUGAAGGUGGUGCAAAAGGACUUUAUAGAUGCUGAAGGCAUGUCAUUGCUGACCAGGAUGUUUUCUACAGUAAUUCCAAGCUAGAAUGGGGCUGCCUUUUUUAAGAGAUCUCAGGAAUUAUCCUGGGAAAUUUUAGACAAGGCAAAUGAAGUGGAGUGAAACUUAAAAUGUACAAAUAGUCAUUUUUCCAUAAAUGGUCUCUGUGUGUAUAAAAGACAAUAUCUUAUAUGUUAUGCUACCAAUGCAUAUUGCAAUAAUACAGGUGACCUUUUAAGAAUACAUUACGUGGUUACUUGUUAAGUAUCUAUUGUCUUUAGAGGUACGUCCGGGAAUUUUAAAAGGUGCACUUCUAAAAAAAUAAAUUUAAUUGAUGUAGCA
rnacentral:lncRNA from 1 species